rnacentral:rRNA from 1 species
GACGAACGCUGGCGGCGUGCCUAAUACAUGCAAGUAGAACGCUGAAGGAGGAGCUUGCUUCUCUGGAUGAGUUGCGAACGGGUGAGUAACGCGUAGGUAACCUGCCUGGUAGCGGGGGAUAACUAUUGGAAACGAUAGCUAAUACCGCAUAAUAGUAGAUGUUGCAUGACAUUUGCUUAAAAGGUGCAAUUGCCUCACUACCAGAUGGACCUGCGUUGUAUUAGCUAGUUGGUGGGGUAACGGCUCACCAAGGCGACGAUACAUAGCCGACCUGAGAGGGUGAUCGGCCACACUGGGACUGAGACACGGCCCAGACUCCUACGGGAGGCAGCAGUAGGGAAUCUUAGGCAAGGGACGGAAGUCUGACCGAGCAACGCCGCGUGAGUGAAGAAGGUUUUCGGAUCGUAAAGCUCUGUUGUAAGAGAAGAACGAGUGUGAGAGUGGAAAGUUCACACUGUGACGGUAGCUUACCAGAAAGGGACGGCUAACUACGUG